rnacentral:rRNA from 1 species
AUUGAACGCUGGCGGCAUGCCUUACACAUGCAAAUCGAACGGUAACGGACCUUCGGGUGCCGACGAGUGGCGAACGGGUGAGUAAUACAUCGGAACGUGCCCGAUCGUGGGGGAUAACGAGGCGAAAGCUUUGCUAAUACCGCAUACGAUCUACGGAUGAAAGCAGGGGACCGCAAGACCUUGCGCGGACGGAGCGGCCGAUGGCAGAUUAGGUAGUUGGUGGGAUAAAAGCUUACCAAGCCGACGAUCUGUAGCUGGUCUGAGAGGAUGAUCAGCCACACUGGGACUGAGACACGGCCCAGACUCCUACGGGAGGCAGCAGUGGGGAAUUUUGGACAAUGGGCGCAAGCCUGAUCCAGCCAUGCCGCGUGCAGGAUGAAGGCCUUCGGGUUGUAAACUGAUUUUGUACGGAACGAAAAGCCUUCUUUUAAUACAGGAGGGUCAUGACGGUACCGUAAGAAUAAGCACCGGCUAACUACGUG